rnacentral:sRNA from 1 species
AGUAGCGGGCGGCAGAGCUGGAGUGAAGGGAGCUAGUGGUAGCAGCCACCAUUAUGCUCAAAGCGGUGAUCCUGAUUGGAGGCCCUCAAAAGGGAACUCGCUUCAGACCUUUGUCUUUUGAGGUGCCCAAACCAUUGUUUCCUGUGGCAGGGGUCCCUAUGAUCCAACACCAUAUUGAAGCCUGUGCCCAGGUCCCUGGAAUGCAGGAGAUUCUGCUCAUUGGCUUCUACCAACCUGAUGAGCCCCUCACCCAGUUCCUAGAAGCCGCCCAGCAGGAGUUUAACCUUCCAGUCAGGUGUUUGUGCACACACUCGUAUAUGGGGGGGUGGGGAUGCCCUAGGCCUCUGAGUUCUUGGAAGUGGGUUGAGUCAGCAUUUGCUGGAGUUCAUCCUCACCUACUAGAAGGAUUCUUGUUUGGACAUCAAUGAAUCUCUGAGUAUAUAGAGUUUCUCUGUAGGCCUUGGGCAGGAGUAGUCCUGGGAGCAAGCGCUGGCAUCUCUACCAUCUCUCUCUCCCUUUCUUUCUGUGACUGUCUCUGCCCUCACCAGCUGCCUUGCUCUAGGGUGAGU